UGCGUAGGGUGCGAGCGUUAAUCGGAAUUACUGGGCGUAAAGCGUGCGUAGGUGGUGAGUUAAGUCUGAUGUGAAAUCCCCGGGCUCAACCUGGGAAUGGCAUUGGAUACUGGCUCGCUAGAGUGCGGUAGAGGGUGGUGGAAUUCCCGGUGUAGCAGUGAAAUGCGUAGAGAUCGUAAGGAAGACCAGUGGCGAAGGCGGGUCUCUGGACAGUUCCUGACACUGAGGCACGAAGGCCAGGGGAGCAAACGGG
rnacentral:rRNA from 1 species